rnacentral:rRNA from 1 species
GACGAACGCUGGCGGCGUGCUUAACACAUGCAAGUCGAGCGGAGCGGCGGCCGGGUGAGUAAUGCCUAGGAAUCUGCCUGGUAGUGGGGGAUAACGUCCGGAAACGGGCGCUAAUACCGCAUCCUAUCAGAUGAGCCUAGGUCGGAUUAACUAGUUGGUGGGGUAAAGGCCUACCAAGGCGACGAUCCGUAACUUGUCUGAGAGGAUGAUCAGUCACACUGGUAAUGAGAAAAGGUCCAGAUUCCGACGGGGGGCAGCAGUGGGGAAGAUUGGACAAUGGGCGAAAGCCUGAUCCAGCCAUGCCGCGUGUGUGAAGAAGGUAUUCGGAUUGUAAAGCACUUUAAGUUGGGAGGCGUUACCAACAGAAUAAGCACCGGCUAACUUCGUGCCAGCAGCCGCGGUAAUUC